rnacentral:rRNA from 1 species
CAGUAGCCGCGGGAAUACAGAGGGUGCGAGCGUUAAUCGGAUUUACUGGGCGUAAAGCGUGCGUAGGCGGCUUCUUAAGUCGGAUGUGAAAUCCCUGAGCUUAACUUAGGAAUUGCAUUCGAUACUGGGAAGCUAGAGUAUGGGAGAGGAUGGUAGAAUUCCAGGUGUAGCGGUGAAAUGCGUAGAGAUCUGGAGGAAUACCGAUGGCGAAGGCAGCCAUCUGGCCUAAUACUAACGCUGAGGUACGAAAGCAUGGGGAGCAAACAGGAUUAGAUACCCCCGUAGUCCCUGUCUCUUAUAC